rnacentral:lncRNA from 1 species
GAGACAGGUGGUAGUUAUAGAACACUGGAACAGAGAGUGGAGACAGGUGGUAGUUAUAGAACACUGGAACAGAGAGUGGAGACAGGUGGUAGUUAUAGAAUACUGGAACAGAGAGUGGAGACAGGUGGUAGUUAUAGAACACUGGAACAGAGAGUGGAGACAGGAACAGAGAGUGGAGACAGGUGGUAGUUAUAGAACACUGGAACAGAGAGUGGAGCCAGGUGGGAGUUAUAGAUCACUGGAACAGAGAGUGGAGACAGGAACAGAGAGUGGAAACAGGUGGUAGUUAUAGAACACUGGAACAGAGAUUGGAGACAGGUGGUAGUUAUAGAACACUGGAACAGAGAGUGGAGACUGGUGGUAGUUAUAGAACACUGGAACAGAGAGUGGAAACAGGAACAGAGAGUGGAGACAGG